rnacentral:rRNA from 1 species
UACAGAGGUCUCAAGCGUUGUUCGGAUUCAUUGGGCGUAAAGGGUGUGUAGGUGGCGCGUAAGUCGGGUGUGAAAUUUCGGAGCUUAACUCCGAAACUGCAUUCGAUACUGCGGUGCUUGAGGACUGGAGAGGAGACUGGAAUUCAUGGUGUAGCAGUGAAAUGCGUAGAGAUCAUGAGGAAGACCAGUGGCGAAGGCGGGUCUCUGGACAGUUCCUGACACUGAGACACGAAGGCCAGGGGAGCAAACGGG